GAUGAACGCUGGCGGCAUGCCUAAUACAUGCAAGUCGAACGAGAGGAAGGAAAGCUUGCUUUUCUGAAUCUAGUGGCGAACGGGUGAGUAACACGUAGGUAACCUGCCCAUGUGCCCGGGAUAUCUUCUGGAAACGGAUGCUAAAACCGGAUAGGUAGCAGACAAGCAUUUGACUGCUAUUAAAGUGGCUAAGGCCAUGAACAUGGAUGGACCUGCGGUGCAUUAGCUAGUUGGUGAGGUAACGGCCCACCAAGGCGACGAUGCGUAGCCGGCCUGAGAGGGCGGACGGCCACAUUGGGACUGAGACACGGCCCAAACUCCUACGGGAGGCAGCAGUAGGGAAUUUUCGUCAAUGGGGGGAACCCUGAACGAGCAAUGCCGCGUGAGUGAGGAAGGUCUUCGGAUCGUAAAGCUCUGUUGUAAGAGAAAAACGACAUUCAUAGGGAAUGAUGAGUGAGUGAUGGUAUCUUACCAGAAAGUCACGGCUAACUACGUGCCAGCAGCCGCCGUAA
rnacentral:rRNA from 1 species